AUACUUACCUGGCAGGGGAGAUACCAUGGCCACGAAGGUGGUUUUUCCAGGGCAAGGCGUAUUUAUUGCACUCCAAAUGGGCUGACCCCUGCGAUUUCCCCAAAUGUGGGGAACUCAACUGCAGAAUUUGUGACAGUGGGGAACUGUGUUUGCUCUCUUCCCUG